CUUCCUUCUGUUGUCUGUCGGCCCUUCCACUUCAGAGAUGGUGACAGAUAUUGAAAAUCAGAUCGAUAAGCAGCUGCAAGCCAGGCUGAAGCGAGAUGAGGUGGCUUCUGCUCCUCUUGCCAGCGAGCUGGAAUCAGGAGCUUCGGCUACACUUGACCUUCGGAGAAGUCUAUGGUCCGAGCAGCAUUAGCCCCAUUGGACACUGAGCAGAGCUAAAAUGAAGAGACUUGUCCCAAAUCCUUCAGCUAGACAGCAGAGUCCAUGGAAUUGGAACCCAUGUCUCCGGGAUUCCAAGAUUUCCCCACUCCUCAUCUCAUUCCUCUUUCUCAAGGCCAAACUCAGAACAGCAACCCGGCAAGCCGAAGGCGUCUGGCCCUUUAAGGCCACCUUCUUCCCCCCACGUGCCGUCUGGUUGGGCUGGCGACGCUGACGCACGCGUGACGUCAAUGGCAGCUGGCGGAGUCUCGGCACGAGGAGCGAAGUUAGGCUGGGGGUGGGGGGGCGAGAGCGAGAAGGCGGUUCAUUUGCAUUUAAAGGGGCCACUCCCGAAUUAGUGGUCAGGGCGCUAAAGCACUGUGUAUCUGGCAAACUUUCUGUCCUGGGCUACAAGGCGAGAAAAAGGCGUGGUACAGCUGAAGUCGAAGGUGACUUGAGUUUGCGGUGUCAUUUAUGUCCUUCCGCGGAAAGGGAGAAAUAGUCCGUCGGUGCCCGGACUGGAAGCACGUGACCUGGAGGGGGCGGAUGGGGGGGGAGAGGGAAGGAGGGAGGAGCUGGGGAGGCGAAUGUCAGGCUUCGUUUCAGCUGCCCCCACCCCCACAUCCUGCCCACCCUCUUGCAGCUGCCACCACAUCCUGCCCAGCCUGGGGCAGGGAACUCUUGUGGGGGGGCAUGGACCUAGGACCGGGCUUUGGCACCUCUUUCCUGCCCCCUUCAGAUCCAGGGUGGGGCCUCUGCCCUUUGCCCCGGGCCUGGCCCCAGGCACCUGGCACUGAGCUUGGGGCACAGCUCUGCCAGCACAGUGUAGGACAACUCUCCGCUUAACUCCGCCCGCCCCCCCUCCCCUUCUGGCCCAGACCUGGACUUGUCUGGGCCCCGGAUCAGAGCCCCAACCCUGGGCUAGCACAGAGUGAGUUAUCAGUGGACAAAUAGAGGAGGUAUUCAAUAAAGUUUUUAUAUGUUAACGAAGAUACACAGGUAUGCACAGAUUCAUGUAACAGACAUUUGCUGAGUGCCUUGGACUCCAGGCCCAGCAAGGCCCUGAAAUCCCAAAGCUGAUUGAACGGCUGUCCUCAAGGAUCGGGUGCCCUCGAGGAGCUCAGGAUCUGGUGAUGACACCAGAUCUUGGUGACACCAAAAAUGUCAGUGCGGUGUGGUGUGUACCGAUGAGGUAGCCACGUGGAGUAGAGAGAACUCUACACAAAGAGGGGUGCAGAAGGGUGCGCAAGCCCACCCUGAGGAUGGGCACACAGACGACCGCCCACUCCUGUGCCGACAGCCCCACGGACAAGGUGGAAGUCAUGCGGAGGGACUGAAAAACUGGGAGGAAGAAUGAUCAGCCCAA